UAAUGCACUUUAUAUGCAGCUUUACUGUCAGAUAUAAUGUGUGCCAUGCACUCCAGAUGUUGGUGGAGUUUGUUUCAGUGUGUGUUGACCAGAGAAGAAAGUUAGCAUAGUAAAUAUUAGCUUUAAUGUUAGCGAUGCUAACCGAGUUAGCUGCUCAGUUGUUUCAUGUAAACAGCUGAAGUGUGUUGUGUUCCUGUAAUGUGGUUCAUUAAGUUCAUAAAACUGUGGCUGGUUGACAUUAAUGUAACGUUAAGGAAACUUAAAUGUGAUUAAAACAGUAACGUUAAUGUUCUAGUUGUCAGUAAUCAGCUUUAAUUUGACACUAAAACAGACUCUGAUAGUUUUAAAUGACAUCAGUUUCAUUAAUUUGUUGAAAAUGGUCUCAUUUGUUGUUGUGAUGUUGCUGCUGAUUCAUUAAAACCAGAUGAUCCGUGUUGAAGAUACGUUUAGUUCUAGUAUCAGAAGUACAAGAAGGAAAAUGGAAGUUUAGUUCUUCUACAUCAAACAUUUCAGGAGUAAAAUAACUAAAUGAGUCUUUAUGCCUCAAACUUUAUUUUGCAAUAAAGAAAUAAUGAAAUAAUCACAGAUAAUAAAAAUAUAAAUAGCAGAGAAAACAUGAGAAUAAUUUCCUGAAAAAUCUGUGAAGGAAAAGCAGCUUUUUAUCCUGAAAUAUCAGAAUCAGCUCCAACAUCUGCAUCUGACAGCAUCAAGUCAACCAGAAAGAAAAGAAAAAAGAGAAUGACUUCUUUCUGAUCACAUCUGUUCCACUGCUCACAGUCUGCUGCUGCUCACAUUCUUCACAUUUAUAGUCCACUUUUAAAAGUUCAGCAGACAGGUGCUCUGCUUUGGAGUGUGACGAUGUCGUCGGUGAUGUGGAGAGUGAAGUUUCCGUUUCAUCCACAGCGUGCUUUAGGGCAGCCAGGUUGGACUUGAUGUUUGAAAUACUGACCGACAGCUCAGAUUUAACUGUCUGUAGUUCCGUUUUGAUGGGUGUUAAACUUUCACUCAAAGCCGCCAGGAGCUGGGUCUUUAAAAUAACCGCCGUCUCGUUACAGAGUGAAAGUAGCAGUUCCUCCUUAAGGUCAGAGAUUGCAGCAUCUGAGGGCCUCUUCAAAAGAAGACGUAGUUGAUGAAGGCGUUCUGGAGCAGGACCAGAAAGACCACGACCAAGCAGCCUUGAGAUCUUAGGCAGCGUCUCCCUCAGGUCCCUCUCUAUCUCCCUACACAUCCACCAACCACUGGAACACAUCUCCAAAGUUCUGCCAGGGCCAGCUCAGCUUCCCCUCAGAAGAAGUUCCACCACCUGCCAGAUGAAGGAGCCUUUUGAGAGGCAGCUGGCAUCGUGAUUGGACUGUACUUUGGUCUGUUCCAAUCCAGCUUCAGCUCCAGAGACGGCAGGCGGGACGAGUCAACGGAGGCCUGGUGGACGAAGGCAUGCAGCUGAGUACAAUCCAGAAAACAACAGAGGAGGAGUGCAGGGCCAGAACAAACAGAGUAGCAUCGUAUGUCUCUUAGAAAACAUCAUAGUAUAGCUUUUGGUAUGAAAAAACACCAUCAUUUACAUCAUAGAUUGUACAAAUAAGUCAAAGGAAAGAGACAUACAUUGUAGAAUUGUAGUAAUUGUGGGCUGACUGAUUUACUGAUUAUCAGUAUUUUAUUUUCUACUGAUUUACGGUAAUAAAUACAUUUAAAAAUGGCGCUA